rnacentral:rRNA from 1 species
GACGAACGCUGGCGGCGUGCUUAACACAUGCAAGUCGAACGAAGUGGCGAACGGGUGAGUAACGCGUAAUCAACCUGCCCUUCAGAGGGGGACAACAGUUGGAAACGACUGCUAAUACCGCAUACUGAAGGAGGGGAUUGCGUCUGAUUAGCUAGUUGGAGGGGUAACGGCCCACCAAGGCGACGAUCAGUAGCGGGGCUGGGAGGAUGAUCCGCCACACUGGGACUGAGACACGGCCCAGACUCCUACGGGAGGGAGCAGUGGGGAAUUUUGGACAAUGGGCGCAAGCCUGAUCCAGCCAUGCCGCGUGUCUGAAGAAGGCCUUCGGGUUGUAAAGCUCUGUUAAUCGGGACGCGGUACCGGAAUAGAAAGCCACGGCUAACUACGUGCCAGCAGCCGCGGUAAUAC